ensembl:misc_RNA 7SK 7SK RNA
AGAUGGGGGGAGUAAAAUAUAGAGAAUAUCCUCUUCCUCCCUCACCACUCCAUGUGGGUCCCUCUCCAAGCUAGGCAAUCGGCGUAAGAGGACCACCACCCCCAACAGAGGAGGACAGUUUCCUGGGUCGAGGAUAUCCAAGGAGCUGUGCUCCCAGCUAGAGCCUCCAAACAAGCUCUAAAACAGUGGAGUACAUAGUCCUUUAAAUAUCCAACAGAUGGCAAUUUUAAUUGGAGAAGUGCUACAUUUAAAAUAUG